UACGAACCGUACGAACGUUAUUCGGAAUCAUUGGGCUUAAAGGGUACGUAGGCGGCGCUGUAAGUCGGGUGUGAAAGCCCUCGGCUCAACCGCGGAAUUGCGCCUGAUACUGCAACGCUUGAGGGAGACAGAGGUAAGCGGAACUGCUGGUGGAGCGGUGAAAUGCGUUGAUAUCAUCAGGAACACCAGUGGCGAAAGCGGCUUACUGGGUCUCUUCUGACGCUGAGGUACGAAAGCUAGGGGAGCGAAGGGG
rnacentral:rRNA from 1 species